GCCGUUGGUUUCUUUCCAUUGUCCAAUUUGAAUAUAGAGAGACUUCCGGUGAAAAUCCUCGUUAAUCCUCACCUGUGUCGGUUUGGUCUUUGCCCUCGAUUUUGUUCAAUCGGUGUACCUCUGUUGCAAAAAAUUGCCUCUCGAUUAAUUGUUUUCAAUGCUAGCGGUGAUUUCUAAUCUAAGCCGAGGUCGUGAGAAUCAGACGUGCUCAGGCACGAAAUCAAUUGUCUGCUCGAAUUAAAGAUUGAUGGUCCUCAGCUAUCCUGCAGUGAGAAGCACCUCAAAGAUUUCUCACGGCAAGGCAGACCUACUACGAUCGUGGUUCUGCAAGGCCUCUGCGGGUCAUAUGAAUAUUCAGCCCACCCGCAACCUUCAAUGAGAACGUAUUCUGUAUGGACUAUUUUGAAUGUUUCUUUGUGAUCCUACCAGAUCCCAUCAUCUUCACUUCCUUCAGCCAAAAGUCCAUGGCUCUUCCUCUCUUGCUUUCCUCUUCUUUUUCCCAUCAUGUAGCAGCUGAAAUGGACGAUAGCAGUUGAAGCAAGGGGUGGCAGUGAAAAUUUAAGUAAUAAGCAAGAGCAGCAGCCUGCACAAUACACACAAACAGCAACCAUGUUUAGCUUUUCUUUGAAUAUCUGCUGCUGUCCAGAAUUUAUGUUGUGAGUUUCACCUUCCU